ensembl:lncRNA
UUAGGGUAGCCUAGUGGUUAGAGUGUAGAGGCGGCAGGGUAGCCUAGUGGUUAGAGUGUAGAGGCGGCAGGGUAGCCUAGUGGUUAGAGUGUAGAGGCGGCAGGGUAGCCUAGUGGUUAGAGUGUAGAGGCGGCAGGUAGCCUAGUGGUUAGAGUGUAGAGGCGGCAGGUAGCCUAGUGGUUAGAGUGUAGAGGCGGCAGGGUAGCCUAGUGGUUAGAGUGUAGAGGCGGCAGGGUAGCCUAGUGGUUAGAGUGUAGAGGCGGCAGGGUAGCCUAGUGGUUAGAGUGUAGAGGCGGCAGGUAGCCUAGUGGUUAGAGUGUAGAGGUGGCAGGUAGCCUAGUGGUUAGAGUGUAAAGGCG